rnacentral:rRNA from 1 species
GACGAACGCUGGCGGCGUGCUUAAUACAUGCAAGUCGAACGGAAGGGCCCUGCGCUUGCGGGGUUCUCGAGUGGCGCACGGGUGUGUAACACGUGAGUAACCUCUCCUUGUCUUUGGGAGAACAUUAGGAAACAGGGGCUCAUACCGCAUAGGAUAUUCUGCUGCAUGGUGGGGGUUGGAAAGAUUCGGCGGUUGGGGAUGGACUCGCGGCUUAUCAGCUUGUUGGUCAGGUUGUGGCUGACCAAGGCUGUGACGGGUAGCCGACAUGAGAGGGUGACCGGCGACAAGGGGACUGCGAGACGGCGCAGACUGCAACGGGAGGCAGCGGGGGGGAACAUGGCGGAAUGGGCGGAAGCCUGAUGCGGCGACGCCGCGUGCGGGAAGACGGCCUACGAGGGAUGAACCGCUGUCGAAUGAAACGAAGAGUGAGUGACGGUAACGGGUCAAGAAGCAACGGCUAACUACGUG